CUUCUCUUGUUGCUAGGAUCGCGAGAAGAGGGUAAGUAAACGAUUUCUUCAAACCAGCUUGCAGCUGUCAUUUUUUGUAGCCUGUAUCGCCCAUAGUGUCCCAAGGGGACAAGCUCAAUCUGCCUCACGUUGCAGUUGGAGGUUGCUGUCCUAUCUAUCUGGCUUACCCUCAGAUCCUCCCUUUUCCCCUCCUGGUUUCUUCCCGAACCUCUUGCUCUCCUUAAACCCUCUUUACUCGGAGUGAACCACCAUGGCAACAGCAAAGCCCAAAGGGCAGAACUCUCUGGCCCUCCACAAAGUGAUCAUGGUGGGCAGUGGUGGAGUGGGGAAGUCAGCCCUCACUCUGCAGUUCAUGUAUGACGAGUUUGUUGAGGACUAUGAACCAACCAAAGCGGACAGCUAUAGGAAAAAGGUAGUUCUGGAUGGGGAGGAGGUCCAGAUAGACAUCCUGGACACUGCGGGACAAGAGGACUAUGCUGCCAUCCGGGACAACUACUUCCGCAGUGGGGAGGGCUUCCUCUGUGUCUUUUCCAUUACUGAGGCAGAGUCGUUUGCAGCUACAGCAGACUUCAGGGAGCAGAUCUUGCGGGUGAAGGAGGAUGAGAGUGCACCCUUCCUCCUGGUGGGGAACAAGUCUGACUUGGAGGACCGGAGGCAGGUCAGCGCGGAAGAGGCCAAGGCGCGUGCUGAACAGUGGGGCGUGUGCUACGUGGAGACCUCUGCCAAAACCCGUGCCAAUGUCGACAAGGUGUUCUUUGACCUGAUGAGAGAGAUCCGAGCGAGGAAGAUGGAGGACAGUAAAGAGAAAAACGGCAAGAAGAAAAGGAAAAGUUUGGCCAAGAGGAUUAGAGAGAGAUGCUGCAUUUUAUAGUGACAAGGGGGUCAGUGAUGACUGCUUUGUGUAUAUAAAUAUUUCACCUAUUUUUGCAUUUUAUUUGUGCCCAUAGAAGCCCCUUACUCCUGGUUCUGGUACCCAGGGAUUCUAGUCUUGGAUCAGAAGUAACUGGUUGGUUUAACAAAAGGACACUGACCCAACACACCUCCAGGCUGGAGAGUGAUGGAGUGCUGACCUGGCCUCCGUAAUCACCUGACCUCAACCCAAUUGAGAUGGUUUGGGAUGAGUUGGACCACAGAGUGAAGGAAUAGCAGCCAAUAAGUGCUCUGCAUAUGUGGGAACUCCUUCAAGACUGUUGAAAAAACAUUCCAGGUGAAGCUGGUUGAGAGAGUGCCAAAGAAUGGCUACUUUGAAGAAUGUCAAAUAUUAAAAUACAUUUUGAUUUAGCACUUUUUUAGAUACUACAUCAUUCCACAUGUUAUUUCAUAGUUUUGAUGUCUUCACUAUUAUUAUACAAUGUAGAAAAUAGUAAAAAAAAAAAAAUGAAAAAAAAAAAACAUUGAGUAGGUGUCCAAACGUUUGACUGGUACUGUAGCUAGCAACGCUAAAGGGAUUUCUUACAGGUUAGUUUAACUCUAGCCAAACAAAACAUUGUUUUUCUAAUAAAAGUGAGCCAACUAGCUAAUUGAAGCAAGCAAACACCUUUCUUACAUGCUAGGAACGUAUUUUCUUCAACAUUUAAUGAAAAAAAAAGGUGCUUCUCUCCCAAAACACAAGUUUUCUGGAAACUUGUGGGCGGAGUGCUGAUGUGGCCCACUGCUUGCACCUUCAGUAGCCUGAUUGGGUCCAGAAUGAGAAGAAAUUCACACAUGCAUGCGUCUCUGACCACCUCUUGAAGUGGUGAGACGGAUCCGACCACCACGGAUCUGACUUUUGUGCAUCUAUACCAGUCUUUUUCAAUGCAAUGUUCAUAUUCUGAUAGGCGAAGUUGCAUGUAAAUGUCAAGUGUAGACAACCUUAGACAGGCAGUCCAAUUCUGAUUUGGCAAAAGAGCUUAAUCCCCCCGCUCUUGGUCAAAUUAGUGGGAAAAGAUCGUAAUUGGGCUGCCAGUGUAAACACAGCCUUAAAGUAAUUGUCCAGUGGAUCUAUUUUAAAAGUUAAAAAUUCUGAUAACCCAUACCCGUAUAAUGUCGUGACUCAGCCUAUACUCGUAUUUUUGGCCAAAGCAUGAAUUGGAGAAUAAACACUUCAAAACCACCACAAUUGUGUUUCUGACAGUUAAAAAAAAAAAAAAAAAAAAAAGCUUUUUAUUUCCGCAUGAAGGAUGAUGAGCUGGCCAAUCAGCUGUCUACUCAUUAUUAUUAUUUUGUUUUCACCCACUCCAUUCCUGCUCAAAGCUGUUUUUUAACAUAUUUUUUAAGAAUUGGUAGAAAAACUUUCACUUGUUUUGUAAUCAAUUAUCUGGAAACACUGGAAUGCUACUUUAAUAUAAAUCUGGAAAUACUGGAGUUACUUUGUUUUUGGGAAACUCACCCCAUGAUAGUUUGAACUUUUCAGUCUUACAUAACUUGAUGUUAAAACCCCCUGAAGUCUAUUGAUGCACCGGUGUGUUAUCUAAAUACCAUAAUUAAAAAAUCCCAUCAAUCUGUCAGGUUGAGCUAGAGAGAUCUAGCAUGGGCUACGUCUCAAUCCACUUCAUCCGCCUAUGUCGCCCUUCCGCAUCUGCAGUGGAAAGUGGCGGAGCUACAGAGCAGUUUGUCAAACCAGGAGACAUCCAGAAAAUCCUAGACUCACGAACAUGACGGUGUUCUCCGUGUUUUGCUUUGACGUCCACAAGUGUCGCUGGACCAGUCCUAAAGGUAACCCAAACAAAUGAAUGGAGGUAGUUUUGUGCCAACAAAAAUAAGGGGUUAAAUGUGUUGUUUAAUUCCUGAGCUUUCUUAUCUCAUUGAUAUAGGACAGACACUUCAAAACUUUAUUCCUUAUGAUUUAUUUUUGUACUGUCUUGUCGUUUAUGAAUGUAUAAUUCAUUGUGUUUAUGUGUUUAUCAGGGCUAUAGUAGUAAAGGCCAAGUGUAAUAUUUUGUCAUGCUUUAUUUAUUUUUUGGGGAUACCUAAAAGGCUCCUAAAAUUUCAAAUCAAAUAGCUAAAUGAUCCAUUGUAUGACCUUAAAACAAUUCCAUGUCAUCUUAGAACCCCCCGCCCCCCGCUCUUGUAGAAUUCUGUAGCACACCAUUAUCUACUUCCAUGGUGCCACCUUGCUUUCUGACUGACCUAGAUCAAGUUCUGUUUGUUUGUGUGUAUGCACGUGCGUGGGUCCAAGCCCCUACUUGGUAACUCUGUCUCAAAUGACAAAUGUUUUUAUUAACUUAUUUUCCUAUUGUUUGGCAUAAUCACAAUGGACUGGGCCAGGUCAAAUUGAGCAAGGCCAGGUCUGGUUCGUGAGACUUAUGUAGGGCAUUUUGUUGCAGUAAUGUGAAUGCAGGUGAAUUUUCUCUACAGGAAACUUUUAAUGUGAGUGUAUUUAUUUUAUUUUUUACUGUACACAUGUAUUGCCUUAUGUUUUAAUAUCCUUUUACUUUCAAUUUGUAAUAUUUAUCUUUAGUUUCAUAAAGCAAAUCAAUCUCAAUAUGGAUGUUGGUUAUACAUGUUGUGUAGUUAUUAUGUUGUCUGUUUACUCACAUCCUUAACAAAAACACUAAUGUAUCUUACUGUUACUGGGUACGAUAAUUGAAAUGCUGUGUACCUUUCAGUUCAUGUUUUGUGAGCUAUUGGAUAGACAAAUAAAGUGAUUAUAAUUUUUUACAAACAAA